rnacentral:rRNA from 1 species
AUUGAACGCUGGCGGCAGGCCUAACACAUGCAAGUCGAGCGAGCGGCGGACGGGUGAGUAAUGUCUGGGAAACUGCCUGAUGGCGGGGGAUAACUACUGGAAACGGUAGCUAAUACCGCAUACCAUCAGAUGUGCCCAGAUGGGAUUAGCUAGUAGGUCGGGUAAUGGCUCACCUAGGCGACGAUCCCUAGCUGGUCUGAGAGGAUGACCAACGACGCUGGAACUGAUACACGGAACUGACUCCUACGGGAGGAAGCAGUGGGGAAUAUGGCACAAGGGGCGCAAGCCGGAUGCAGGGAUGCCGCGUGUGUGAAGAAGGCCAUCGGGUUGUAAGGCACUUUCAGCGGGGGGGCGUUACCCGCAGAAGAAGCACCGGCUAACUCCGUGCCAGCAGCCGCGGUAAUUC